rnacentral:rRNA from 1 species
UACGGAGGGGGCUAGCGUUGUUCGGAAUUACUGGGCGUAAAGCGCACGUAGGCGGCUUUGUAAGUUAGAGGUGAAAGCCCAGGGCUUAACCCUGGAAUUGCCUUUAAGACUGCAUCGCUAGAAUCGUGGAGAGGUGAGUGGAAUUCCGAGUGUAGAGGUGAAAUUCGUAGAUAUUCGGAAGAACACCAGUGGCGAAGGCGACUCACUGGACACGUAUUGACGCGUGAGGUGCGAAAAGCGUGGGGAGCAAACAGG